UACGUAGGGUGCGAGCGUUAAUCGGAAUUACUGGGCGUAAAGCGUGCGCAGGCGGUUCGUCGUGUCCGAUGUGAAAGCCCCGGGCUCAACCUGGGAAUGGCAUUGGAAACUGGCGGACUCGAGUGUGGCAGAGGGAGGUGGAAUUCCGCGUGUAGCAGUGAAAUGCGUAGAGAUGCGGAGGAACACCGAUGGCGAAGGCAGCCCCCUGGGCUAACACUGACGCUCAGGCACGAAAGCGUGGGGAGCAAACAGG
rnacentral:rRNA from 1 species